rnacentral:lncRNA from 1 species
CAAGAAGAGGAGGCACCGGCGGUACUUGAUGCUAGACAUCUCAUACUCACAAGUAUUAGAGCUCCCCCUUCUCAUGCCUUGACCCGCGAGCAUAGCGAUGGGCUAGCAAGGAGCAUGACAGCUUCCAGCGUCACCGGUGUGAUAAUCUCAAGGUUUGCACAAAGAACUCGACGACUCUCCUAUCCACUUCGUCAACUCCGAGCCCUCCACGCCAAGACCGGCCGCCUCCACCUUCUCGUUGGUGCCCCGGACCUUGUCUCCCUCUGCUUCGCCACCUCCCUUUCCUUCCUCCUCGCACAUGACAACACCGAUCUCACCACCAUAGUUGACUCCUUCCUUGCCGACCUACUGAUUCUGAUGAUUCCCGAUGCCCUCGCCAGUCUCCACUCUCUCUUAUGCCCUUAA